rnacentral:rRNA from 1 species
UAGGGAAUCUUCCACAAUGGGCGAAAGCCUGAUGGAGCAACGCCGCGUGUGUGAUGAAGGGUUUCGGCUCGUAAAACACUGUUGUAAGAGAAGAAUGACAUUGAGAGUAACUGUUCAAUGUGUGACGGCAUCUUACCAGAAAGGAACGGCUAAAUACGUGCCAG